AACAGUGUUAGAAGGCACAGUGGGUGUGCAGCGGAAAAAUAAUGAAGUAGAAUCUCUUUGCUUGCAAGCUUUUCAGGUCUUAUCUGAGCAGCGCCCUCCAGCCUUCCUUCUUUGAAAGAGAUGAGCCUGACUUGGUGAGACAAACAUGUCCUGCCCUCAGCGUCGUCGGGUCCUCACACACCUGUGGCCGCUCCUGCUGAUCCUGGCUCCUGGAAGAGAGCAAUCAGGCGUACUUCCAAAAGCCGUACUUCUGCUCGAUCCUCCAUGGUCCACCACAUUCAAAGGAAAAAAAAUGACUCUCAGAUGUACUGAUUCCCAUUCUCCAACAAAGGGACAGGCAUCUUGGUUUUGUGACAAGAAAAUAUUGAAUACGGUAUCUGAAAUCAUCACAAUUGAAACAUCUGGGAGUUACCAGUGCAAGACCC
rnacentral:lncRNA from 1 species